rnacentral:rRNA from 1 species
UACGUAGGUGGCAAGCGUUGUCCGGAUUUACUGGGCGUAAAGAGCGCGCAGGCGGUUGUCCAAGUCGAAUGUGAAAGCCCCCGGCUCAACUGGGGAGGGUCAUUCGAUACUGUUCGACUCGAAGGCAGGAGAGGGAAGUGGAAUUCCGGGUGUAGUGGUGAAAUGCGUAGAUAUCCGGAGGAACACCAGUGGCGAAGGCGACUUUCUGGCCUGUUCUUGACGCUGAGGCGCGAAAGCUAGGGGAGCAAACGGG